rnacentral:rRNA from 1 species
GACGAACGCUGGCGGCGUGCUUAACACAUGCCAGUCGAACGGUGAAGGGACUGGUUUUGCUGGUCCUGGAUGAGUGGCGAACGGGUGAGUAACACGUGAGUAACCUGCCCCCUUCUUCUGGAUAACCGCAUGAAAGUGUGGCUAAUACGGGAUAUUCUGGGUCUGUCGCAUGGUGGGCCUGGGAAAGAUUGCGCCUUUUUUGGUGUUUUUGGUGGGGGAUGGGCUCGCGGCCUAUCAGCUUGUUGGUGGGGUGAUGGCCUACCAAGGCGGUGACGGGUAGCCGGCCUGAGAGGGUGGACGGUCACACUGGGACUGAGACACGGCCCAGACUCCUACGGGAGGCAGCAGUGGGGAAUAUUGCGCAAUGGGCGCAAGCCUGAUGCAGCGACGCCGCGUGAGGGAUGGAGGCCUUCGGGUUGUGAACCUCUUUCGCCAGUGAAGCAGGCCCGCCUCUUUUUGUGGGUGGGUUGACGGUAGCUGGAUAAGAAGCGCCGGCUAACUACGUG